rnacentral:rRNA from 1 species
GUGUCAGCCGCCGCGGUAAUACGGAGGGUGCAAGCGUUAUCCGGAUUCAUUGGGUUUAAAGGGUCCGCAGGCGGGAAAUUAAGUCAGUGGUGAAAGCCUACAGCUCAACUGUAGAAUUGCCGUUGAUACUGAUUUUCUUGAGUGUAGUUGAAGUGGGCGGAAUGUGUCAUGUAGCGGUGAAAUGCAUAGAUAUGACACAGAACACCGAUAGCGAAGGCAGCUCACUAAGCUAUUACUGACGCUCAGGGACGAAAGCGUGGGGAGCAAACAGGAUUAGAUACCCUGGUAGUCCACGCUGUAAACGAUGAUUACUAGUUAUUGGCGAUAUACGGUCAGUGACUAAGCGAAAGUGAUAAGUAAUCCACCUGGGGAGUACGGCCGCAAGGUUGAAACUUAAAUGAAUUGACGGGG